rnacentral:lncRNA from 1 species
UGGCAGCUUUUGCUGUCGAGGGGAAUUUUCUUGUGAGAUGUGCGUGUGGCCACUUUGUGUGUGAGAGAGGACUGAGUUUUAGUUUUAGCUUACAAUCAUUUUGAAUAAUUUUCUCUCUUCAAAAUUUUUUUUUCUAUUAUUAUUUAUUAAUUUAAGUGUUUCUUGUUGCGGCUCGAAUCCAUCCUAGACUGAAGGUAUUGGAGCGAAGCGAUAUUCCGUACAUC